rnacentral:lncRNA from 1 species
AGAACCAAAACCGGAAGAACGUUAGACUACUCAGUUGAGCCCUAACAGUAUGACAUUGCAACUAGUACUUUUUCUCAUUCAAUCGAACAAAGAGUAAAACCUAAUUAUAUUGUUCUAUUACAUCCCGAGAGUGUAAAUUUGGAACGAAUCGAUAUCAACGUUCACAAGAACCAAAACCGAAACAACAUUAGACUACUCUGUUGCGCCAUAACCGUAUAACGUUGCACUGAGUACUUUUUCUAAUUCUAUCGAACAAGGAGUAAAAGCUUUCUAUUACGCCCCAAGAGUGUAAAUUUGGAACGAAUCGAUAUCAACCUUCACAAGAACAAAAACCGGAACAAUGUUAGCCUACUCUGUUGAGCCCCAACAGUAUAACUUUGCAACUAGUAUUUUUUCUUAUUCAAUCGAACAAAGAGCAAAACCUAAUUAUAAUGUUCUAUUAUACCCCGAGAGUGUAAAUUUAGAACGAAUCGAUGUCAACGUUCACAGGAACCAAAACCGGAACAACAUUAGACUACUCAGUUGCGCCAUAACAGUAUAA